CCAGCACAAGACGUCAUUUAGACGUUGUUUUUUGGGCUAAAUCACGUCGGCCCGUCAUGACCUUCAUUUAGUCCAAAAAAAGACGUUGAAAACUGGUCUUUGUUUGGUCCGUCUAAUUCAGUCCAAAUUUAGCCUAAAAUUAGACGUCUUUUUCGGACCACUUUUCAACGUGUCUCCAUUCAAUAAUAAUCCUGACAAAAUAUGCAUGAAUGUAUAAAUACUGAGCACAUUGAACGAUAAUGAAACAUAUGCUUUGUUUAAAGUCUAUUAAUAUUUCUGUUUAUUUUAAUUAAAUAAAUAUCUUAAAUGUGCUCUAAACAGGUCAUUUCGGUCCUGUACAGCACUGAUAGAAGCACUUCAUUUUCAUCUUUUAACAAAUAUCUUUAUUUUCUUUUAAUAUGAUAUUAUUGGCAGAGGCGCGCGUCCGUCUCAUGCUUUGUGAUCACGUGAUUAUUCAACGGGGAGACGCGCGUUCUGGAUUUACAGUUUCUCCUCAGACAAGUGUUUCUGUUUUGUGGUCGAUUCUGGGAUCCUUUUCUUGGUGUGUCUUGAUGUUUUCUAUUGGCUAAAGAUGCAAAUAAGGAGACUUACAGUAGGAGCUGCUGGUUUGUGGUUGGCAGUAUGGAUCACGGUCUGCGACUCAUGAGGAGCUGGUCUGGAGACAUGAAGAGGUUGUCAACAGACGUCUGAAGCUAAUACCUGCCAUGGUCUGAUUGGUAUUUCAUGAGGAAUCAUGGGUUCCUUGGUAUUUGAAUUAUGUUGAACCAGGCAAGUACUCCAUCUUUCGAUCAUGUGUUCUGUCUGCUUACACAUUCCUAGCCAGAAUAACAUUUCGUGCUCUUAGCUUAGACUUCUCAGCGUGUGCGCAUAUCUCAGGUCAGAUAUGACUAUUUUCUAAUCUUCACUGGUCAAUGAAAGUUUGUCUUAAAAGUCAAUAAUGUAUGUGGGAAAUUGUCUCCUCUUUGCAGGCCAUCCAUCCAAGAUCAUCUAUCUGAGCUGCUGAAAACUGCCUCGGUACGGAUCUGUUGGAGCUUUGUGUCACUGACUGAAUUUCUGCAAAUUCCUGUUCCGUGUCAUAUUGCUUAUGCAAGACUGAAUCCAUAAAGAUGCUGUAACCAUAAAGCAACCAGGACAACACACCUGCAGUGACCGAGAGCAGGAUGAAGGAGGAAUCGGAUGAGAAAAUGUCAACUGGUGCCCAUGAGGAGACAUAUUGUUCUUGGACCUGCUUUUUAUGUUUAGUAAUAAGUGGUUUUAUGUGGUUAAAAAAAGUAAUGUAAUAUUAAUAUUUAAUAUUUUAAUAUUCACUCCAAAAUGGUCUAGUAUUGUCACUUAACUUAUGCUGCUUGACUUCUCAGCAUAAAGAUCAUUAUUAAAUUAAUAUUAAAUAUUUCAAAUUUAGAAAUAGGCUACCCCAUGCCAUCUAAUAAAGAAGUGGGUACUCCGUGCGUGUCGUGUACCCAGCACUACACCAUAUGGCAUCAUUGAUGUCUGUUGUAAGUAGAUAUAUAACUGUUAUUAAAUAAUUAUAUUGUAUUUCUUUCUAUUUAAGUCCAAGUUCAAAAUAAAACUCUAUAAACCUCUCCAUUGUGAAAUGGUUUAUAUACAUUCACGGUUUAUAGAGUUUUAUUUUGAACUUGGACAUAAAUACGAAAAAAUAUAAUAUAAUUAUUUAAUAAAAAGUUAUACUAACAGCGGACAUCAAUGAUGCCAUAUGGCCCGGCAUUGAAUUGACCCCUCAGAUCUGAUUUGUGCAUUUUUGUAUUCAUGGUUAAAAUGUUCAACUUUUUGAUUGUAAUAAUAAUUUAACCUUAUCCCCAUAUGGGAUUUAAAAUGUUCAGUGACAUUACUGUCAGAUUCAAACGUCUUUCGCGCUGAGCCAGACGGACGAGCUCAGCGCUGUCAUAUAGCAACAUGCAGUGUU